rnacentral:misc_RNA from 1 species
ACACCUCAACUCUCAUGGUUUGCCAUGAUGAGCUUGGACUCUGGGGGUUUUGCUGGCCUGCGGUCAGCUCCCCUCAAAUGGAUCAGCCUCCCAGUGUUUGGUGGCAUCACAGGUGUGAUAACUAUCUACGCUUGCGAUUGCCUGCCAGGUAACCUUUGGCAACAAAGGUUCGCUGGGGCUCACAGAUGUCUCUCUUUGGAGGACGACCCUUUGAAU